rnacentral:rRNA from 1 species
GAGUAGUGGCGAGCGAAAGCGGAGGAGGCUAAACCGUGUGUGUGUUCAAGCCGGCAGGUGUUGCAUGUGCGGGGUUGUGGGGGCCUGUGUGAUCCUGCUGCCGUGGGAUCGGCUUGCAUGUGGUGUGAAGUUGAAUCGUCUGGGAAGGCGGACCGUAGUGGGUGAGAGUCCCGUAGACGUGAGUGUCAUGUGUGGUUGUCAGGUUGCCCCAAGUAG